GACGAACGCUGGCGGCGUGCUUAACACAUGCAAGUCGAACGGAAAGGCCUGCUUUCCCUUGUGGAUUGCGGGUGCUCGCGUGGCGAACGGGUGAGUAACACGUGAUUGAUCUGCCCCCAACUUGGGUAUAAGCCUGGGAAACUGGGUCUAAUUCCCGAUAGGACUGCAGGGUGGUGCCUGUGGUGGAAAACGAUUUUCUAGUGGUUGGGGAUGAGCUCGCGGCCUAUCAGCUUGUUGGUGGGGUAAUGGCCUACCAAGGCGGCGACGGGUAGCCGGCCUGUGAGUGUGGACGGCGACAGUGGGACUCAGAAACGGCCCAGACUCCUGCGGGAGGCAGAAGGGGGGAAUAUAGCACAAUAGGCGUAAGCCUGAUGCAGCGACGGCGCGUAGGGGAUGACGGCCUUCGGGAUGUAAACUCCUUUCGACCGAGAGGAAGACACCUGGUCGGAAGGGUGGUGACGGUAGUGGUAGAAGAAGCACCGGCUAACUACGUG
rnacentral:rRNA from 1 species